ACAACGGCUCUUUUAAGAGCCACACACCAACACUCAAGGGCUACA
rfam:Poecilia formosa, whole genome shotgun sequence.